UACGUAGGUGGCAAGCGUUGUUCGGAAUUAUUGGGCGUAAAGGGCGCGUAGGCGGCCUGUUAAGUCGGUUGUGAAAGCCCGGGGCUCAACCCCGGAAAGUCGACCGAUACUGGCAGGCUAGAGUACGGAAGAGGUAGCUGGAAUUCCCGGUGUAGCGGUGAAAUGCGUAGAUAUCUGGAGGAACACCGGUGGCGAAGGCGGCAUCCUGGACCAAAUCUGACGCUGAGGAGCGAAAGCCAGGGGAGCAAACGGG
rnacentral:rRNA from 1 species